AGCGAACGCUGGCGGCAGGCUUAACACAUGCAAGUCGAGCGGGCAUCCUUGUGGUGUCAGCGGCAGACGGGUGAGUAACGCGUGGGAACGUGCCCUUCGGUUCGGAAUAACUCAGGGAAACUUGAGCUAAUACCGGAUACGUGCGAGAGCAGAAAGGUCUAUCUGCCGAAGGAUCGGCCCGCGUCUGAUUAGCUAGUUGGUGAGGGUAUGGCUCACCAAGGCGACGAUCAGUAGCUGGUCUGCGAGGAUGAUCAGCCACACUGGGAAUAAGGCCCGGCCCCGACCGCGACGGGGGGGAGCAGUGGGGAGUAUUAGGGGAGGGGGGCAACCCUGGUCCAGCCAUGCCGCGUGAGUGAGGACGGCCUUAGGGUUGUAAAGCUCUUUUCGCCGGGACGAUAAUGACGGUACCGGAGGAAGAAGCCCCGGCUAACUUCGUG
rnacentral:rRNA from 1 species